CAAAGCCUUCUUAAACAAUUAGCAAUAAUUAAAAAGCAUCUAUUCAGACUGGAUAAAAGGACUUGGCAGGGCCAACUUGUCUCUCUUCUACUUGGCAUCAGCAAAGAUGGCUUAAUUGCUGGAAACUAGUGUCGUCUGAAGACUUGUUCACUUACACGUCUGGCAACUGUAACUGUCUGUCAGUUGGUAUCUUAGCUAAGGCUACCAAGCAGAACACCUAUACAGGAUGUUUUGAUGUGGCCCGAGAUUCCUCACAACAUUGUGUUUGGAUUCAAAAGGAAUAAGAAGCAAAUGGAGGGCUU